GGUAUAAAGAGUCAAAAGAUUAAAAAUAAUAUUGAAUUAAUAAUAAAUUAUUGCCUAAUUAAAUUAAGAUAUGUGUYCCUUUUGUAUCAUGAUUAUUCAAUGAUUUUAAUUAUUUAAAAACUAGAAAAAAAAAAUAUUUUUUAAAAAAAAAUUAUAAAGAAAAAUUUUGAAUUUUAAAAAAAUAGUGAAAAAUUAAUGGUUUUUUAUAUCUAGAUAUCUUUUAUAUAAAAAAAGAGGAAAAAGAAUUUAAUUUUAAUUUUAGAAAAUUAGAAUUUAAAAUUUAUUUCUUUUAUUUUUUUAAAAAAAAAUUAAAUUUUUGUAACUAUCUUUUAUGAAAAAAAUUAUUUAUGGAUAUGAGUAAAUAAGUAAAAAAAAAUGUAUUUUUGUACUCAAGAAAAAUAGGACUGUUUAACAAAAACAUUGUUAAUUUUUUAAUUAAUACAACCUGCUCGGUGAAAUUUUAACAGCCUCAGUAUCUUAACUGGGCAAAGGUAGCAUAAUUACUUGUUUUUUGAAUAAAAACUUGUUUGAAGGGUUAAACUUAUUUUUUUCAUGAAAAUAAUUUUGAAUUUUCUUUAAAGUAAAAAAGCUUUAAAUUAUAAAAAAGACGAGAAGACCCUUAAAGCUUUUAAUUUUAAAUGGGGUAUUUAAAUAAUUUUUUUAGAUUAUAUUAAAGAAUAAGUUACUUAAGGGAUAACAGGAUAAUAUUAAAUAAAGACCAUAUUUACUUUAAUGUUUUUUACCUCGAUGUUGAAUUAAUUUUUUUCCUUAUUAUGCAACAGUAUAAAGGGUCAGCCUGUUCGGCYGUGAAAAAAUUACAUGAUUUGAGUUCACAUCGAUGUGAGUCAGAUCGGMUUCUAUCUUUUAUUCAUUUAUUUUUGUACCCAACGAANAACUAAAUAAAAANUUUUUUAUUANGAUUAAAUUUGCCGCUAACAAAUUUUAGAAUAUUUUUAUUCCCVUAUAAAUCCAAAAUGGNUYAAAGUGACAGAAAUANNNGUGAUAANGUUUAACGACUUAUUUANACCYUAGGGUCCUUACUUUUUANAGUUUAAUUAAAAUANNUAUUUCCAAAUAGCAGAUCNAANAUUUUAGUA
rnacentral:rRNA from 1 species